AACGAACGCUGGCGGCAUGCCUAACACAUGCAAGUCGAACGAGACCUUCGGGUCUAGUGGCGCACGGGUGCGUAACGCGUGGAACCUGCCCUUAGGUUCGGAAUAACUCCCCGAAAGGGGUGCUAAUACCGGAUAAUGUCUUCGGACCAAAGAUUUAUCGCCUUUGGAUGGGCCCGCGUUGGAUUAGCUAGUUGGUAGGGUAAAAGCCUACCAAGGCGACGAUCCAUAGCUGGUCUGAGAGGAUGAUCAGCCACACUGGGACUGAGACACGGCCCAGACUCCUACGGGAGGCAGCAGUGGGGAAUAUUGGACGAUGGGCGAAAGCCUGAUCCAGCAAUGCCGCGUGAGUGAUGAAGGCCUUAGGGUUGUAAAGCUCUUUUACCCGGGAUGAUAAUGACAGUACCGGGAGAAUAAGCUCCGGCUAACUCCGUG
rnacentral:rRNA from 1 species